rnacentral:rRNA from 1 species
UACGUAGGGCGCAAGCGUUGUCCGGAAUUAUUGGGCGUAAAGAGCUCGUAGGCGGUUUGUCGCGUCUGUCGUGAAAGCUUGGGGCUUAACCCUAAGUCUGCGGUGGAUACGGGCAGGCUAGAGGCAGGUAGGGGAGAACGGAAUUCCCGGUGUAGCGGUGAAAUGCGCAGAUAUCGGGAGGAACACCGGUGGCGAAGGCGGCCCUCUGGACGGUGACUGACGCUGAGACGCGAAAGCGUGGGUAGCAAACAGG